CUGAUCCAGCCAUGCCGCGUGCAGGAUGACUGCCCUAUGGGUUGUAAACUGCUUUUAUACGGGAAGAAACGCACCUACGUGUAGGUGUCUGACGGUACCGUAAGAAUAAGGACCGGCUAACUCCGUGCCAGCAGCCGCGGUAAUACGGAGGGUCCGAGCGUUAUCCGGAAUCAUUGGGUUUAAAGGGUCCGUAGGCGGGCCUGUAAGUCAGGGGUGAAAGUUUGUGGCUCAACCAUAAAAUUGCCUUUGAUACUGCAGGUCUUGAGUCAUGGUGGGGUUGCCGGAACAUGUGGUGUAGCGGUGAAAUGCAUAGAUAUCACAUAGAACACCGAUCGCGAAGGCAGGUGACCAACCAUGUACUGACGCUGAUGGACGAAAGCGUGGGUAGCGAACGGGAUUAGAUACCCCGGUAGUCCACGCCGUAAACGAUGGAUACUAGCUGUGGGGACUUCGGUCUCCGUGGCCAAGCGAAAGUGAUAAGUAUCCCACCUGGGGAGUACGUUCGCAAGAAUGAAACUCAAAGGAAUUGACGGGGGCCCGCACAAGCGGUGGAGCAUGUGGUUUAAUUCGAUGAUACGCGAGGAACCUUACCAGGGCUUAAAUGCAGGCUGCAUGGGGUAGAGAUACCCCUUUCUUCGGACUGCCUGCAAGGUGCUGCAUGGUUGUCGUCAGCUCGUGCCGUGAGGUGUCAUGUUAAGUCCUAUAACGAGCGCAACCCCUACCGUUAGUU
rnacentral:rRNA from 1 species